rnacentral:rRNA from 1 species
CAGCAGCCGCGGUAAUUCCAGCUCCAAUAGCGUAUAUUAAAGUUGCUGCAGUUAAAAAGCUCGUAGUUGAAUUUCGGGACCAUCAUGUCGGUCGUGCCUCGGUACGUACUGGCAUCGUUGGUUUCUCCCUUCUGACGAACCAUGAUGUCAUUAAUUUGGUGUCAUGAGGAAUCAGGACUGUUACUUUGAAAAAAUUAGAGUGUUUAAAGCAGGCUCACGCUUGAAUACAUUAGCAUGGAAUAAUGAAAUAGGACGUUUGAUUCUAUUUUGUUGGUUUCUAGGAUCGACGUAAUGAUUAAUAGGGAUAGUUGGGGGCAUUAGUAUUCAAUUGUCAGAGGUGAAAUUCUUGGAUUUAUUGAAGACUAACUACUGCGAAAGCAUUUGCCAAGGAUGUUUUCAUUAAUCAAGAACGAAAGUUAGGGGAUCGAAGACGAUCAGAUACCGUCGUAGUCUUAACCAUAAACUAUGCCGACUAGGGAUCGGAUGAUGUUAAUUUUUUAAUGACUCAUUCGGCGCCUUACG